GGGAUGUGUGUAAUGUGUGAGGGGUGCAGUGUGUGUAAGGUCUAUAUUUUGUGUGUGUGUGUGUGUGUGUGUGUGGGGAGGGGGUGGGGGUUUAUCCAUGGGAAAAAAAAUAUAUUUAUUAUUUAAAAAGGAAAAAAGCUUUAUGCCCCCUCCCCUGGCAUGCACUAUAGCCUCCUUUGGCUGCAGGCUGACUUCUGUCUUUUCUUUCCAUGAGCUGAUUGCUAUGUCGGAGCAUUGCCACGGUAAUGCUCCGGCAAGCCUGCUCGUAGGAGGAACACAGACUCCUGGGUCCUUCUUCCUCUUCCCUCUCCUGCAGCCUCCCAGAUCCUCUUGCUCUCCCCUAAGGAACUGUCAGGAGGCCAGUGAGGGUGACCUGUUAUCUCCCCACUGGCAAGAGAAAGGCAGACAGCAGGUCUGGAUCUCUUGUGCCAUGGGCAUUGUGGUGGGGCACCCAUACAUGUGGGGACCCUGGGCAAAUGCCCUGCGUGCCCAAGCGGAAAGACAGUCAUAACACUAUACAAGGAACCAAGAGGCAAAGACACACUGAAAACUUUCCUUAAACACAGAGUGUUACAAUCACCAUUGCCCUUGAGGUCAGUCUGCACUGGUCAAAGUGCCUGUGGCUGCCGCACCCCAGUCAGCAUCCUCUGAAUCUCAAUUCACGGCCAGGGAAUUCCAUUUUCCAGCAAUGAUUGGUCCGGCAUUCCAAGAUGCAGCCGCCGCUGCAUGAUGAGACUGAUACGUAGGUUAGAGGUUGGAAGAAGUGUGACUAAAGGCCGGAGCCAGCACAAUGUUGCAUCCAAGAUGGGGCUCAGUCCCACAGUCAGUGCAUUGACCUCAGGUAACCACUUCUACAGAUGAGACCAGGUUAUGUGAUUGAGCCACUAGUUUAUAUGCAGAGCACAUCUUUCAUUCAGUGCUUGGUUGUUUUGUUGCCAUCCUCAGAACUCCUAGUGUUUGUAUUUCCUGUCCUUGCUGGUUUCCUGACUUUGUCUACUCUCUGAAUUUGUCUGCUAACGAUUUUGCUUUGCUUAAAGGAGCACCAUAGAGCCAGGAAAACAUACUUGUUUUCCUGGCACUAUAGUGCCCUGAGGGUGCCCCCACCCUCAGGGUCCCCCUCCCGCCGGGCUGGAUGGCGAGGAAAGGGGUUAAACUUAGCUUUACUCCAGCGCCGGGUUGGGAGCUCUCCGCCUCCGAUCCUCCUCUUCGGCUGAAUGCGCAUGCGCGGCAAGAGCUGUGUGCGUAUUCAGACGGUCUCAUAGGAAAGCAUUUACAAUGCUUUCCUAUGGACGCUUGCGUGUUCUCACUGUGAUUUUCACAGUGAGAAGCACGCAAACGCCUCUAGCGGCUGUCAAUGAGACAGCCACUAGAGGAUUUGGAGGCUGGAUUAACCCAUUUAUAAACAUAGC